GUAAAGCGCGCGCAGGUGGUUCCUUAAGUCUGAUGUGAAAGCCCACGGCUCAACCGUGGAGGGUCAUUGGAAACUGGGGAACUUGAGUGCAGAAGAGGAAAGUGGAAUUCCACGUGUAGCGGUGAAAUGCGUAGAGAUGUGGAGGAACACCAGUGGCGAAGGCGACUUUCUGGUCUGUAACUGACACUGAGGCGCGAAAGCGUGGGGAGCGAACAGGAUUAGAUACCCUGGUAGUCCACGCCGUAAACGAUGAGUGCUAAGUGUUAGAGGGUUUCCGCCCUUUAGUGCUGCAGCAAACGCAUUAAGCACUCCGCCUGGGGAGUACGGCCGCAAGGCUGAAACUCAAAGGAAUUGACGGGGGCCCGCACAAGCGGUGGAGCAUGUGGUUUAAUUCGAAGCAACGCGAAGAACCUUACCAGGUCUUGACAUCCUCUGACACUCCUAGAGAUAGGACGUUCCCCUUCGGGGGACAGAGUGACAGGUGGUGCACGGUUGUCGUCAGCUCGUGUCGUGAGAUGUUGGGUUAAGUCCCGCAACGAGCGCAACCCUUGAUCUUAGUUGCCAGCAUUCAGUUGGGCACUCUAAGGUGACUGCCGGUGACAAACCGGAGGAAGGUGGGGAUGACGUCAAAUCAUCAUGCCCCUUAUGACCUGGGCUACACACGUGCUACAAUGGAUAGAACAAAGGGCAGCAAAGCCGCGAGGUCAAGCAAAUCCCAUAAAUCUAUUCUCAGUUCGGAUUGCAGGCUGCAACUCGCCUGCAUGAAGCC
rnacentral:rRNA from 1 species